rnacentral:rRNA from 1 species
CCUACGGGUGGCAGCAGUGGGGGAUAUUGCACAAUGGGGGAAACCCUGAUGCAGCGACGCCGCGUGUGGGAAGACGGUCCUCUGGAUUGUAAACCACUGUCUCAAGGGACGAAGUUGACGGUACCUGGGGAGGAAGCUCCGGCUAACUACGUGCCAGCAGCCGCGGUAAUACGUAGGGAGCGAGCGUUGUCCGGAAUUACUGGGUGUAAAGGGAGCGUAGGCGGGGAUGCAAGUUGGGUGUAAAUACUACCGGCUCAACUGGUAGUCGCACUCAAAACUGCAGCUCUUGAGUGAAGUAGAGGCAGGCGGAAUUCCUGGUGUAGCGGUGAAAUGCGUAGAUAUUAGGAGGAACCCCGAUUGCGAAGGCAGCAUGCCGGCUUCCUACUGACGCUGAAGCACGAAAGCGUGGGGAUCGAACAGGAUUAGAUACCCUGGUAGUC